GCCCCUUUAGCUCAAUGGUAGAGCGUCAGACUUCUAUGACAGAAAAUUUUCUUGAAGUCCCACAUUAGGAGAGGACUCUUCUUGAGAAAAGUCCAUGAUGAAUGUCGUGGGUCCCACAAGGGGUG